UACGAAGGGGGCUAGCGUUGCUCGGAAUCACUGGGCGUAAAGGGCGCGUAGGCGGCCAUUCAAGUCGGGGGUGAAAGCCUGUGGCUCAACCGCAGAAUUGCCUUCGAUACUGUUUGGCUUGAGUUUGGUAGAGGUUGGUGGAACUGCGAGUGUAGAGGUGAAAUUCGUAGAUAUUCGCAAGAACACCAGUGGCGAAGGCGGUGCUCUGGGCCGGAACUGACGCUGAGGAGCGAAAGCGUGGGGAGCAAACAGG
rnacentral:rRNA from 1 species